CUUCCUCAGCCUUACUCCAGGGGCUUUAUUUGCAUAUUGAGUGCCCUGGCAUUGUCUGAGGAUAAAUUAAAAGUAUGCUCAUAUCCCUCCCCAAUAGGAUUCUGGGUAUCCUUUGGGGCCUGCAAUUUGAGCAGACAUU
rnacentral:snoRNA from 1 species